UUGUAGGACUGGACAUUGGAGUUACCAAAGUUCGACGUAGUCGAAGUCAGCUGGAAAGCUGCGCCAUAGAAGGUGAAAGCCCUGUAAACGAAACGGCGGACUCUCCGUCCAGGAUCCUGAGUACGGCGGAACACGUGAAAUUCCGUCGGAAUCCGGGAGGACCAUCUCCCAAGGCUAAAUACUCCCUAGUGACCGAUAGUGAACCAGUACCGUGAGGGAAAGGUGAAAAGCACCCCGGAAGGGGAGUGAAACAGUUCCUGAAACCGUGUGCCUACAAUUAGUCAAAGCCCGUUAACGGGUAAUGGCGUGCCUUUUGUAGAAUGAACCGGCGAGUUACGUUUGCCUGCGAGGUUAAGAUGAAAAGUCGGAGCCGGAGCGAAAGCGAGUCUGAACAGGGUGCUUCAGUAGGUAGAUGUAGACCCGAAACCAAGUGACCUACCCAUGACCAGGUUGAAGGUGUGGUGAAACACACUGGAGGACCGAACCCAUGUAUGUUGAAAAAUGCUGGGAUGAGUUGUGGGUAGCGGUGAAAUUCCAAACGAACUUGGAGAUAGCUGGUUCUCUCCGAAAUAGCUUUAGGGUUAGCCUCGGAGGAUGGAUCAUGGAGGUAGAGCACUGUUUGAACUAGGGGCCCGUCAAGGGUUACUGAAUUCAGAUAAACUCCGAAUACCAUUGAUCUUACUCCGGGAGUCAGACAGUGAGCGAUAAGGUCCAUUGUCGAAAGGGGAACAGCCCAGAUCACCAGUUAAGGUCCCUAAAUUUAUGCUAAGUGGAAAAGGAUGUGGCGUUGCACAGACAACUAGGAUGUUGGCUCAGAAGCAGCCACCAUUUAAAGAGUGCGUAAUAGCUCACUAGUCGAGUGGCACUGCGCCGAAAAUAUACCGGGGCUAAGCAUAAUACCGAAACUGUGGGUGCACCCGUCAGGGUGCGCGGUAGGAGAGCGUUCUAAGGGCGUUGAAGGUCGAUCGUGAGGACGGCUGGAGCGCUUAGAAGUGAGAAUGCCGGCAUGAGUAGCGAAAGAUCAGUGAGAAUCUGAUCCACCGUAUGACUAAGGUUUCCUGGGGAAGGCUCGUCCUCCCAGGGUUAGUCGGGAUCUAAGGCGAGGCCGCAAGGCGUAGUCGAUGACAAGCAGGUUGAGAUUCCUGCACUAGUUUAUUUUGUUUAAGCGAUGGAGGGACGCAGGAGGCUAAGGAAAGCGCACGGCUGGAAAAGUGCGUCCAAGCAGUAAGUCCGGUGGCGAGUGAAAUGCUUGCCGCCUUAAGGACAAGCUGUGAUGGGGAGCGAAAUUAAAGUAGCGAAGUUCCUGAUGUCACACUGCCAAGAAAAGCUUCUAGUGAGAAAUAAACUACCCGUACCGCAAACCGACACAGGUAGUCGAGGAGAGUAUCCUCAGGUGAGCGAGCGAACUCUCGUUAAGGAACUCGGCAAAAUGACCCCGUAACUUCGGAAGAAGGGGUGCUGACCGCAAGGUCAGCCGCAGUGAAUAGGCCCAAACAACUGUUUAUCAAAAACACAGGUCUCUGCUAAAUCGUAAGAUGAUGUAUAGGGGCUGACGCCUGCCCGGUGCUGGAAGGUUAAGAGGAUGAGUUAGCGCAAGCGAAGCCCAGAAUUGAAGCCCCAGUAAACGGCGGCCGUAACUAUAACGGUCCUAAGGUAGCGAAAUUCCUUGUCGGGUAAGUUCCGACCCGCACGAAAGGCGUAAUGAUUUGGGCACUGUCUCAACGAGAGACUCGGUGAAAUUAUAGUACCCGUGAAGAUGCGGGUUACCCGCGACAGGACGGAAAGACCCCAUGGAGCUUUACUAUAGCUUGAUAUUGAGUGUUGGUACCGCUUGUACAGGAUAGGUAGGAGCCGUAGAGAUCGGAACGCUAGUUUCGAUGGAGGCAUUGGUGGGAUACUACC
rnacentral:rRNA from 1 species